GGUGAGUAAUGCGUAGGAAUCUACCUAGUAGUACGGAAUAGCCAUUAGAAAUGGUGGGUAAUACUGUAUAAUCCCCGAGGGGGAAAGAUUUAUCGCUAUUAGAUGAGCCUACGUUAGAUUAGCUAGUUGGUGAGGUAAUGGCUUACCAAGGCUAUGAUCUAUAGCUGGUCUGAGAGGACGAUCAGCCACACUGGAACUGAGAUACGGUCCAGACUCCUACGGGAGGCAGCAGUGGGGAAUAUUGGACAAUGGGCGAAAGCCUGAUCCAGCUAUGCCGCGUGAGUGAAGAAGGCC
rnacentral:rRNA from 1 species